AGAGUUUGAUCCUGGCUCAGGACGAACGCUGGCGGCGUGCUUAACACAUGCAAGUCGAACGAUGAAAGAGAAUCCGAUCUCUUCGGAGAGAAGAAUCUCUGGAUUAGUGGCGGACGGGUGAGUAACGCGUGAGCAAUCUGCCUUACACAAAGGGAUAGCCUCGGGAAACCGGGAUUAAUACCAUAUGAUAUCUAUUCACCGCAUGGUUUAUAGAUUAAAGAAUUUCGGUGUAAGAUGAGCUCGCGUCCCAUUAAUUAGUUGGUGAGGGUAACGGCCCACCAAGAUAGCGAUGGGUAGCCGAUCUAAGAGGAUGACCGGCCACAUUGGAACUGAGAAACGGUCCAAACUCCUACGGGAGGCAGCAGUGGGGAAUAUUGCACAAUGGGGGAAACCCUGAUGCAGCGACGCCGCGUGAGCGAUGAAGGCUUUCGAGUCGUAAAGCUCUGUCCUAUGGGAAGAUAAUGACGGUACCAUAGAAGAAAGCCCCGGCUAAUUACGUGCCAGCAGCCGCGGUAAUACGUAAGGGGCGAGCGUUGUCCGGAAUUAUUGGGCGUAAAGAGUGCGUAGGCGGCAAAUUAAGUCAGAUGUGAAAACUAAGGGCUCAACCCAUAGAUUGCAUCUGAAACUGAUAUGCUUGAGUCAAGGAGAGGAAAGUGGAAUUCCUAGUGUAGCGGUGGAAUGCGUAGAUAUUAGGAGGAAUACCGGUGGCGAAGGCGACUUUCUGGACUUGAACUGACGCUGAGGCACGAAAGCGUGGGGAGCAAACAGGAUUAGAUACCCUGGUAGUCCACGCCGUAAACG
rnacentral:rRNA from 1 species